AGGACGAACGCUGGCGGCGUGCCUAACACAUGCAAGUCGAACGGGACCAGGGGCAACUCUGGUUCAGUGGCGGACGGGUGCGUAACACGUGAGGAACAUGACCUUCGGCGGGGGAUAGCCGGCCCAACGGCCGGGUAAUACCGCGUACGACCAUCCGGGGGACAUCCCUGGGUGGUGAAAGCAGCAAUGCGCCGAUGGAGUGCCUCGCGGCCUAUCAGCUAGUUGGUGAGGUAACGCUCACCAAGGCGACGACGGGU
rnacentral:rRNA from 1 species